rnacentral:rRNA from 1 species
GACGAACGCUGGCGGCGCGCUUAACACAUGCAAGUCGAGCGAAGCGGCGGACGGGGGAGUAACACGUGAGUAACCUGCCUUAGACAUUGGGAUAGCCUCGAGAACCCGGGAUUAAUACCAAAUGUUCAAAGAUGGACUAGCGUCCCAUUAGCUAGUUGGUGAGGUAACGGCCCAACAAGGCGACGAUGGGUAGCCGGCCUGAGAGCGUGAACGGCCACAUUGGAACUGAGAACCGGUCCAAACUCUCCGGGUGGCAGCAGUGGGGAAUAUUGCACAAUGGAUGGAACUCUGAUGCAGCGACGCCGCGUGAACGCAGAAGGCUUUCGAGUCGUAAAGUUCUUUUAUAUGGGAAGCGGUACCAUAAGAAAAAGCCCCGGCUAACUACGUGCCAGCAGCCGCGGUAAUUC